UACGGGGGGAGCAAGCGUUGUUCGGAUUUACUGGGCGUAAAGGGCGCGUAGGCGGCCAGCACAAGUCAGUUGUGAAAUCUCCGAGCUUAACUCGGAAAGGUCAACUGAUACUGUGCGGCUAGAGUGCAGAAGGGGGCAACUGGAAUUCUUGGUGUAGCGGUGAAAUGCGUAGAUAUCAAGAGGAACACCUGCGGCGAAGGCGGGUUGCUGGGCUGACACUGACGCUGGAGGCGCGGAAAGCUAGGGGGAGCGAACGGG
rnacentral:rRNA from 1 species